AAGAACUAACAAGGAUUCCCCUAGUAACUGCGAGUGAAGCGGGAAAAGCUCAAAUUUAAAAUCUGGUAGUUUCACUGCCCGAGUUGUAAACUAGAGAAGCGUUAUCCGCGCUGGACCGUGUAUAAGUCUCCUGGAAUGGAGCGUCAUAGAGGGUGAGAAUCCCGUCUUUGACACGGACUACCAGGGCUUUGUGAUGCGCUCUCAAAGAGUCGAGUUGUUUGGGAAUGCAGCUCUAAAUGGGUGGUAAAUUCCAUCUAAAGCUAAAUAUUGGCGAGAGACCGAUAGCGAACAAGUACCGUGAGGGAAAGAUGAAAAGAACUUUGGAAAGAGAGUUAAACAGUACGUGAAAUUGUUGAAAGGGAAACGCUUGAAGUCAGUCGCGUCGGCUAGGAAUCAGCCUUGCUUUUGCUUGGUGUACUUUCUAGUCGACGGGUCAGCAUCAGUUUUGAUCGGUGGAAAAAGGCCAGCGGAAUGUGGCACCUUCGGGUGUGUUAUAGCUGCUGGUUGUAUACAUCGGUUGGGACUGAGGAACUAGCACUCUGUGUUUUAGAUGCUGGCAUAAUGGCUUUAAUCGACCCGUCUUGAAACACGGACCAAGGAGUCUAACAUGCCUGCGAGUGUUUGGGUGGAAAACCCGAGCGCGUAAUGAAAGUGAAAGUUGAGAUCCCUGUCGUGGGGAGCAUCGACGCCCGGACCAGACCUUUUGUGACGGAUCCGCGGUAGAGCAUGUAUGUUGGGACCCGAAAGAUGGUGAACUAUGCCUGAAUAGGGUGAAGCCAGAGGAAACUCUGGUGGAGGCUCGUAGCGAUUCUGACGUGCAAAUCGAUCGUCAAAUUUGGGUAUAGGGGCGAAAGACUAAUCGAACCAUCUAGUAGCUGGUUCU
rnacentral:rRNA from 1 species